rnacentral:rRNA from 1 species
UAGGGAAUAUUAGAAUGGACGAAAGUCUGAUCUAGCAACACCGCGUGUGCGAAGAAGGCCUUCGGGUCGUAAAGCACUUUUUGGAAGGAAUAGGAAGGAAUGUACUUCCAGAAUAAGUCUCGGCUAACUACGUGCCAGCAGCCGCGGUAACACGUAGGAGGCAAACGUUAUCCGGAUUUACUGGGCGUAAAGCGCGUGUAGGUGGUUUGGUAAGUAGAGCGUGAAAGCUCCUGGCUCAACUGGGAGAGGUCGUUCUAAACUGCCGGACUAGAGGAUGGUAGAGGGAGGUGGAAUUCCGGGUGUAGCGGUGGAAUGCGCAGAUAUUCGGAGGAACACCAGUGGCGAAAGCGGCCUCCUGGCUCAUAUCUGACGCUCAGACGCGAAAGCUAGGGUAGCAAACG